rnacentral:rRNA from 1 species
UGGGGAAUAUUGCACAAUGGGCGAAAGCCUGAUGCAGCAACGCCGCGUGAGUGAUGAAGGCCUUCGGGUUGUAAAGCUCUGUCUUUUGGGACGAUAAUGACGGUACCAAAGGAGGAAGCCACGGCUAACUACGUGCCAGCAGCCGCGGUAAUACGUAGGUGGCAAGCGUUGUCCGGAUUUACUGGGCGUAAAGGAUGCGUAGGCGGAUUUUUAAGUGAGAUGUGAAAUACCCGGGCUUAACUUGGGUGCUGCAUUUCAAACUGGGAAUCUAGAGUGCGGGAGAGGAGAAUGGAAUUCCCUAGUGUAGCGGUGAAAAUGCGUAGAGAUUAGGAAGAACACCAGUGGCGAAGGCGAUUCUCUGGACCGUAACUGACGCUGAGGCAUGAAAAGCGUGGGUAGCAAAACAGGAAUUAGAUACCCUGGUAGUCCACGCCGUAAACGAUAGUACUAGGUGUAGGAGGUAUCGACCCCUUCUGUGCCGCAGUUAACACAAUAAGUACUCCGCCUGGGAAGUACGAUCGCAAGAUU